rnacentral:rRNA from 1 species
GACGAACGCUGGCGGCGCGCUUAACACAUGCAAGUCGAACGGAAAGGCCUGCUUUCCCUUGUGGAUUGCGGGUACUCGAGUGGCGAACGGGUGAGUAACACGUGAGUGAUCUGCCCCCAACUUGGGUAUAAGCCUGGGAAACUGGGUCUAAUUCCCGAUAGGACUGCAGGGUGGUGCCUGUGGUGGAAAACGAUUUUCUAGUGGUUGGGGAUGAGCUCGCGGCCUAUCAGCUUGUCGGUGGGGUAAUGGCCUACCAAGGCGGCGACGGGUAGCCGGCCUGAGAGGGUGGACGGCCACAUUGGGACUGAGAGACGGCCCAGACUCCUACGGGAGGCAGCAGUGGGGAAUAUUGCACAAUGGGCGGAAGCCUGAUGCAGCGACGCCGCGUGGGGGAUGACGGCCUUCGGGUUGUAAACUCCUUUCGACCGCGAGGAAGCCACCUGGUUGGAAGGGUGGUGACGGUAGUGGUAGAAGAAGCACCGGCUAACUACGUG